GCCUUCUUAGCUCAGUCGGUAGAGCAAAGGACUGAAAAUCCUUGUGUCCGUGGUUCAAUUCCGCGAGGAGGCACCA
rnacentral:tRNA from 2 species